UACAGAGGUGGCAAGCGUUGUUCGGAAUUACUGGGCGUAAAGGGCGCGUAGGCGGCCUUGUCAGUCAGACGUGAAAUCCCCAGGCUUAACCUGGGAACUGCGUCUGAUACUACAAGGCUUGAGUGCGGGAGAGGGAUGUGGAAUUCCAGGUGUAGCGGUGAAAUGCGUAGAUAUCUGGAGGAACACCGGUGGCGAAGGCGGCAUCCUGGACCGACACUGACGCUGAGGCGCGAAGGCGUGGGGAGCGAACGGG
rnacentral:rRNA from 1 species